GUCCACGCCCUAAACGAUGUCUACUAGUUGUCGGGUCUUAAUUGACUUGGUAACGCAGCUAACGCGUGAAGUAGACCGCCUGGGGAGUACGGUCGCAAGAUUAAAACUCAAAGGAAUUGACGGGGACCCGCACAAGCGGUGGAUGAUGUGGAUUAAUUCGAUGCAACGCGAAAACCUUACCUACCCUUGACAUGUACGGAACCCUGCUGAGAAGUGGGGUGCUCGAAAGAGAACCGUAACACAGGUGCUGCAUGGCUGUCGU
rnacentral:rRNA from 1 species